UACGAAGGGGGCUAGCGUUGCUCGGAAUCACUGGGCGUAAAGCGCACGUAGGCGGAUCCUUAAGUCGGGGGUGAAAUCCUGGAGCUCAACUCCAGAACUGCCUUCGAUACUGAGGAUCUCGAGUCCGGGAGAGGUGAGUGGAACUGCGAGUGUAGAGGUGAAAUUCGUAGAUAUUAGGAAGAACACCGGUGGCGAAAGCGACUCUCUGGACGGCAACUGACGCUGAGGCACGAAAGCGUGGGGAGCAAACAGGG
rnacentral:rRNA from 1 species